rnacentral:rRNA from 1 species
UACGUAGGGUGCAAGCGUUAUCCGGAAUUAUUGGGCGUAAAGAGCUCGUAGGCGGUUUGUCGCGUCUGCUGUGAAAACUGGAGGCUCAACCUCCAGCCUGCAGUGGGUACGGGCAAACUAGAGUGCGGUAGGGGAGAUUGGAAUUCCUGGUGUAGCGGUGAAAUGCGCAGAUAUCAGGAGGAACACCGGUGGCGAAGGCGGGUCUCUGGGCCGAUACUGACGCUGAGGAGCGAAAGCAUGGGUAGCGAACAGG